GACGAACGCUGGCGGCGUGCUUAACACAUGCAAGUCGAACGGAAAGGCCUGCUUUCCCUUGUGGAUUGCGGGUACUCGAGUGGCGAACGGGUGAGUAACACGUGAGUGAUCUGCCCCCAACUUGGGUAUAAGCCUGGGAAACUGGGUCUAAUUCCCGAUAGGACUGCAGGGUGGUGCCGGUGGUGGAAAACGAGAUUCUAGUGGUUGGGGAUGAGCUCGCGGCCUAUCAGCGUGUUGGUGGGGUAAUGGCCUACCAAGGCGGCGACGGGUAGCCGGCCUGAGAGGGUGGACGGCCACAUUGGGACUGAGAUACGGCCCAGACUCCUACGGGAGGCAGCAGUGGGGAAUAUUGCACAAUGGGCGGAAGCCUGAUGCAGCGACGCCGCGUGGGGGAUGACGGCCUUCGGGUUGUAAACUCCUUUCGACCGCGAGGAAGCCACCUGGUUGGAAGGGUGGUGACGGUAGUGGUAGAAGAAGCACCGGCUAACUACGUG
rnacentral:rRNA from 1 species